UACAUAGGGUGCGAGCGUUAAUCGGAAUUACUGGGCGUAAAGCGUGUGUAGGCGGUUUCGUAAGUCGGGUGUGAAAUCCCCGGGCUCAACCUGGGAAUUGCAUUCGAAACUGCGAGGCUAGGGUACGGAAGAGGGAAGCGGAAUUUCUGGUGUAGCGGUGAAAUGCGUAGAUAUCAGAAGGAACAUCAGUGGCGAAAGCGGCUUCCUGGUCCAGUACCGACGUUCAGGCACGAAAGCGUGGGGAGCAAACAGG
rnacentral:rRNA from 1 species